rnacentral:rRNA from 1 species
UACGGAGGAUCCGAGCGUUAUCCGGAUUUAUUGGGCGUAAAGGGUGCGUAGGCGGCCUGACAAGUCUGAUGUGAAAUCCCUGGGCUCAACCCAGGGCCUGCAUCGGAAACUGUCGGGCUUGAGUAUGGGAGAGGUGAGUGGAAUUUCCGGUGUAGCGGUGAAAUGCGUAGAUAUCGGAAGGAACACCUGUGGCGAAAGCGGCUCACUGGACCAUUACUGACGCUGAGGCACGAAAGCUAGGGGAGCAAACAGG